CGUCGCUUCCUUGAAAGUUGAAGGAGUUCCCUGGGGGCCUCGGCGCUUUCCGGGCUCCUUCCUGUCGCCGGGGCGGCCGGGGUCUCCCCGAAGGGCCGGACCCCCGGCGCGGGCGUUCUCCCCGGGUGUCGGACUUGGAGAAGUUCCCCACUUCUGCUUGGGGAGGAGGUUGGGGUAACGGGGCGGAACGCCGAGGGCCGAGGUAUGCGCGUGUGGCUGGCUGUCGGUGUUGGGGGCGGUGUUUGGGGCGGUGUCCCGGGCCGGGGGCACCUGCGCGCGCGGACAGCCGGCCCCGCCGGGGGACGGGAGACGGCGCCGAGCGAGAGGCUGCGGCGGGAACCGCUGUCCCCCGCCAUCCAGUUGUUACUGUAUUAGGUCUUCCCUGGAUACAUUUUUCUGGUAAUUUUAAUUACCUCUCUCUGAUAGUAUUUCCUUCCCUGAUUUAUUACUUUUUUUCAUUGAGAACUUUUCAUUCUGAUCAUACAUGUUGUAUAUUCCUUAUUCACCUUCUGUUAUAGUUCCCCCCACCACUAGAAUCUAAGCUCUGUGAGGUCAGAUGUCACAUACUGGCUUAGGGAUUUUUUCCUAGCACCUAGGAAAGUGCCUGGUUGUAUUCUCCAUAAACAUGUUACGAAUGAAUUACGCAUUGAAUUGUAUGCCACGCACUGACUAGACAUUGAGGAUGUAAAAAAUGAACAAAGUAUGAAGUUCAGUUUUUGAAAAAAGCGUGUAUAUACAUAUAUAUCUCAAUAUAUGUAU
rnacentral:lncRNA from 1 species